rnacentral:rRNA from 1 species
AUUGAACGCUGGCGGCAUGCCUUACACAUGCAAGUCGAACGGCAGCACGGGUGCUUGCCCCUGGUGGCGAGUGGCGAACGGGUGAGUAAUACAUCGGAACAUGUCCUGUAGUGGGGGAUAGCCCGGCGAAAGCCGGAUUAAUACCGCAUACGAUCUACGGAUGAAAGUGGGGGACCUUCGGGCCUCGCGCUAUAGGGUUGGCCGAUGGCUGAUUAGCUAGUUGGUGGGGUAAAGGCCUACCAAGGCGACGAUCAGUAGCUGGUCUGAGAGGACGACCAGCCACACUGGGACUGAGACUCGGCCCAGACUCCUACGGGAGGCAGCAGUGGGGAAUUUUGGACAAAGGGCGAAAGCCUGAUCCAGCAAUGCCGCGUGUGUGAAGAAGGCCUUCGGGUUGUAAAGCACUUUUGUCCGGAAAGAAAUCCUUGGCCCUAAUACGGUCGGGGGAUGACGGUACCGGAAGAAUAAGCACCGGCUAACUACGUG